rnacentral:rRNA from 1 species
CUGUUUGUUCCGAGAACGUCCAACGUCGCGCACUGCCACUACCCUCGCCGUUCUUUUCCUUCUCGUCGCCGCCGCGUAGAGACAGAGCACCCCGGUCGGGAGGGCAGGCGCGCACGCUGUUGCGGCUAUACCUCAGGGUCCGAGCCUAUCGGUGGUCCUGCAACCCACGGGGCCGCCCCCGACACCCCUGGUACGCCGCAGGCCGGUACUAAGGCCGCUGCCGUUCGGCAUAUAUACUCGGUAGCAGAGGUGAAGGAAAGGAAGUACAAAAUUAGACGUGGAGAUGGGGUGAGGGGUGACGGAUGGAGGGAGAGAGUGCAUUCGAGCUCGAGCCCCGCCACUUUAGGGAGAAUCCACCGUCUUCGACUGACAGAACUGUAGAAGUCUCUAAGAUACACAGGUCAACACCAACACGUGUGGUUAGCAAACUACUUAACGAUUUUCUUUAACAUGCAAAAAAAUACAUACAACCUUAGUCCAUUUUACACUAAAAUCGGCAGACAACUAACGAAAGCCGCAGAACGACUUAAGACGCGUAACGUCCCUCGUCCUUGGCUGCAGCAGCAGACCCUCCGUCGGUUCCUACCUCCAGUGAGAAUCAAGUAGAAGGAGAAACGAGGCAGAGGACUACCGACAGUACCUCCAACGAUAAUUCACUCGUCCAUCAAACAGUAACAAGCACUUAGUAGACAAAUCAGAAAGAGAAGUGAAUUAGCUACAAGUCGAAAUAUUAUUCAUUUGAUACCAUACCACUCAUGGAGAGUUAUGAGCUACCGAAGGGAAUAAAUCUGACAACUAAAUAAAAGCUUAUUAUCCGGGGACAAGGUCAAGUUUUCCCUUAGUACAUCGUCGUCGUUAAUUAUACGAAAAGUCAAAAUAAUAUUCAUUUAAAGUUUUAUUUACACAGUAUUGUAUUCAUAACUCAGAUACUAACAUAUAUACAUAGCUUGGAAUUACUUGACCAAACCAACUAUAAUAAAAUUUAAAUCAAAGUCUAUGAUGGCUUAAAGACUAAAAGCCAAUGUAUAUUAAUACUAUAUACAACGUAGUAGAAACACAAGUCUGAAGUCUAUACAGUCGUUCGGUGAAAGCUCGGAACGAGUAAAUGUAGUCAUAAACAAAAGUGUAAUCACGUGGUACCAGAAAAACAGAAAGUAAAGAUGGAUUUCUCGUUGUUAGUCUGAAAGAUACUCUUGAAGUCCAUAGUCACGCUGUUUGCCCGAUUGGGUAUAUUGUACUAACGAACCUCGACUGUAUCUCCCACCGCUCUACGUCUCCUCGGGCUCCAUGUCCACUUCCCUCUACGACCCACAGUCCAGCUCGUUGAUACCAACCCCACCGACACACUUCUUCUCUCUCCAUCCUUUCCUUCACAACCCGAUUGACUACGACGGCCCUACUUAGUCCCUCUAAUCUCCUCUCUUCAACUCUCUCUAAAGCCGCUACAAGUCCUCUUCUCCUAAAGAGAUCGAUACGGUUGGGUUCUACACACUACGAGUUCUUCCAUACACUACGAUUGCGUAUAUGUUUCUUGCUCCACAGAACAAUUAAACCACCUGUCACGGGAAGAAUUUUAUUUAUACACCACGGCAUCUGUUGACUUCUUAAUAGUGAAUAUCAAGGCAAUCCAAACAAUGGAGGCAACAAGCCUGUGAAUUUACAAAGUGACUCCUAAAAAAUUAGGUAGGCCGGUAGUCGAAUAUGGACCUACAUGGAAGUACAAGAUGUUUAGAUAAUUAAAUAGUAUCCUGUUCGUCUGCUACCUUCAUCAUAUCAAAGAACUUAAUAAUGAUACCAGGUGGUUUAAAAAAUUAAUGACUUAGUCGUAUUCAAAAUACAAAGAGACAACAUUAAGAAGACAUCCGACAAAAGACACAGAGACGUUCACGGAAAAACGAGUCUACGAAAAAAAUGUCACGUAGUUCACCUCAAAUCAAGUAAGUGGAGAGGUGUAGAGGAGUUAAAGUACUAACAAGUCUAACGAUUGGCUGCCUGAUCUUCGUACGGGUGGAAAGACAAGGAAAAUCAAGGUUUAUUAGAAAAAAAAGCUUACUUACGUACGAAUAUCAUAACUUUAUAUAAAAAAGAUAUGAACCAUCUAGUAUUUGGCGGUUUAAUGCGACGAUGACCACACAAAUGACGAGGUAUUAACUCAGUCAAAACACACGUAAUAGACUUGUUACAGUUGCGACGGAAGGAAGACUGUAUGAUAAAACCGACAACUAGCUACAACGCCGACGACGCCGACCACCACGAGACCCGUGCGUUCCCCUCGCGCCGUGUGUUUGAGGCGGACGAGUUCUGCAACGCGGUGUUGGUACGGCCGGAGCCACAGUCCGCGUUGCUAACCAAACGUGAUACCGCUUGAUCUUAAGGGGUCGCGUGUGAACGAGGUCAAAUAGGAGAUGCCGUUACCAGUGAUGAAGACGCUACGGGCACUCUCCCUACACCUGACGUAGCUCCUGAUGAUGCUACCGCUCGUUUUGCUCGUGCCGGACCUCUUGGAGCUACUACCCGUCUACUCGUCAACGAGAUAUCACCGUCCAGGAGCACCGACGUCAUGUUACUGUACUCUACACGAUCUAUGUCACGAUUCUAACGUACAAAUAAACAGCUAGAACUAUGGGAAAACCUGUUCGGUGUCAUACACCUUACGUAGAACAUUCGUCGUGAUGAUGAAAGGAACCAAAUAUGAAAGUCGAGAUUCUGAACCAACAGUAAGUAAGUUUUUUAAGAUUCGAUAUAUACGUACACACGAUAGUUAAUCUU